rnacentral:rRNA from 1 species
GAUGAACGCUGACAGAAUGCUUAACACAUGCAAGUCAACUUGAAUUUGGGUUUUUAACUUAGGUUUGGGUGGCGGACGGGUGAGUAACGCGUAAAGAACUUGCCUCACAGCUAGGGACAACAUUUGGAAACGAAUGCUAAUACCUAAUAUUAUGAUAAUAGGGCAUCCUAUAAUUAUGAAAGCUAUAAGCGCUGUGAGAGAGCUUUGCGUCCCAUUAGCUAGUUGGAGAGGUAACGGCUCACCAAGGCGAUGAUGGGUAGCCGGUCUGAGAGGGUGAUCGGCCACAAGGGGACUGAGACACGGCCCUUACUCCUACGGGAGGCAACAGUGGGGAAUAUUGGACAAUGGACCGAGAGUCUGAUCCAGCAAUUCUGUGUGCACGAUGAAGUUUUUCGGAAUGUAAAGUGCUUUCAGUUGGGAAGAAACAAAUGACGGCACCAACAGAAGAAGUGACGGCUAAAUACGUG